rnacentral:tRNA from 1 species
GGCCCGUUCGUCUAUCGGACAGGAUAUCGCCCUUUCAAGGCGAAGAGAUGGGUUCAACUCCCAUACGGGCUG